rnacentral:pre_miRNA from 1 species
UCUGUCAUCAUUUUUGUGAUUUUUGCAAUUGUGUUUACAACCAAAUUGCAUAGUCACAAAAGUGAUGGGAGA